AAAAAUGAGAAAAAUACUAUUAUCCUUGUAGUAUUUUGACUUUUUUCUCUACAUUUAUUUAGCCAAAUAUCAGGCAAAAGGCAUAAAAUCAUCUGAUACUAAGCUUAGGUUCUCUGAAGGUGAAUUUUUCCCAGGUAAAAUCCCCCAGGAAGCAAGGCAGGUAAAAGUCUCUUUGACUUUGAAGGCUCUCACUUGUUCUUCACACAGGCUGCAUUUGGGGAAUGUUUUCAGCAAUGUCUGGUCCAAGAUGGCUUUGAGGUUAGAGGCACCCAAAUCCCACUGAAAGGCUUUAAAAAAAAGAAACAUGGGAAUAGUUUCUUCAUGGAUAAGCAAUAUCCUGGUUUGGACAGCUUUCCUUGGAUUCCAGCAGAAGAGGAAAGAUGCUAAAAAACCAUAGGAUCUGCAUGCUCACACCUUUCCUAGCACUGGUGUCAUUGAUGCUCCAGCCACCUGAGACCUUUGUGCACAUGUUUUCCACAGAGCUGUCCAGCAGAACAUUCAUUGGUGCCUUUCUGUGGGAUCCACCAAGAAAAAAAAAUAAAAAUCCCACAUUUCUGCAUCUCCAUCCGAAACAUGAGCAGCUAAGCCACGGGGAGAGCAGAGCAGCAGCCCUGCUGCAAAGGACAUUUUAUAUUCUGCAGGCUGCGCCCUACUUCAGCGAGCCAGGUGCGAGAAACCUGAUAUUAAGUAAGCUGGGGAACUUGUGUUUCUUUCCUAAUGGGAUUCCAGCUGUCAUUAAUCCUUUCCUGAGAUGUGUGUUUCCAGAAGAAGGCGUGGGCAAUCAGCAAGACUGAUGUGCUGCUUCUUGGAUGAACUAUGCUCAGUUGCCAUGGUGUGGAAGGCCCUGCUGGGUUAAUUCGCUCUGCAGAGCCAGAUCAAGGAGCCAUCCCCAGCCCAGAGGUUGUGUGGGGAAGGCAGCAUUCCCUCAUCCUUUGUCUGGGGGAUGGAGGCUCAGGAAGAGAAGGUGACUGGCCAAAAAUGCUGUGCUGAAGUAGGCUCUUCAGCGGCACUACAUGGAGAUGUCCCACUGUCUGAUUCAUUUCUGAUACGUGGGUUUUAGAAAAUUAAGAUCCUCAGAACAAAGAAGUGAGUAUUAUUGGGUAUUUUUCCCUCUACUGGGCAAAACCCACAGUGAAAUUCUUCCUGUGCUGCAGGCCAGAAGUGGUCAGGACAAGAAGAGCCAGUCAAUGUGUGAAGGGAGACAGGGCUGUGGCUCAUUGCUGACCUCAUGCUGUAUCCCAUUGUCCCAGGAGGACCCAAGCAGGAUUUGGCACCCGUGCAUGGCCUGGCACAAACCCACCAGGUCCCUCUGUGUCCCCUACACCUUUGUCCCUCCCCUGCCGUGUGGCUCAGCCUCACCUCUGUAUAGCAGUUCAGCUCUUCAGGCUGGAGUGAAGGAUUACCAGAGGUAAAAGCUGUGUCCUGCCUCUCCCAGCAGCCACUCAGGUGGUCUCUGCAGGUUGCAUCCAUGUAGGAUCCCAAAUCUCACAUUUGGCCGUGGUGGUGAGCCCUCUGCCGUAGGCAAGGUCAGAGGGGAGGCAGGGGGCUUUUGAUCUUCCCUCCUAUUUUCUUUCUGAGCCUCGAUUUACUGACAGAAUGCUUUGUGGUUGUUUUUGGCAGGAAAGGGGUUGUUUCACUGAAGACAAACCUGCCCACAGGGUUGCAAGCUCUCCAAGACCAGCCUAGCUGGAGAAGAGAGCUCCUACCUGAGUGGGAGGAGGGGAAUAACUGGGUUGGGAUCUCCCUGGAAGCCCAGGGCACUUGUCAGGUGGCAGCAAGAGCUGAAGAUGUUCC
ensembl:lncRNA